UAUAAAAGGACGCGUGUCUCAUGCUGGAGUCAAUUCACGUCGAACCCUUUGUGUUUACGCUUCCCACUUGCUGAACCAGCAUCUCCUGAAGGACAGAAAGAUGGGUUGCCAUGGAGACCACUCCUGUUGCCACGGAAGUUCCCACUGUCAUGGAUCCCACAACCAGAAUGUCUGUGUGGAGAAGAUAUCCGGAUACUACGGAGGUGGAGGGUGCUGCCACGGAUCCAGAUCUUCCCAUCAUGGUUGCUGCCAUGGAUCAAGAUCUUGUUGCCAUCACGGAGGGAUACAAAAAUUCUGUCCUCCAUCUUAUCCCGUGUACUCGCAAUAUAAGCGUCCCUGUGCAUAUCCCUUUGGGUCUUUUAAAUAACUUCCUUUAGAGAGCCAAACAUUGGAUGACUAGAGCUGAUUUUUUUUAAAAUCCUACCCCCAUCAUGCUUAAAAUUCGAUAAACCCAGCUUGAACAAAUUUGAACGCACCACACUUGUUUUCAAUUUGACACUGAGCCUCACUUGUUCCAGUGUUUCUGACAUUUGAAUUUUUUUAAUCGCAUCCCAGGGUCAAGACCCUGAAUGCAAUAUUAAAUUCAAAUGUUUGCAAAUUUGGCACCAUUAUUUGUAAUUUACAUUGGUCAGAUUUUCAAACACUUGCAUUCAAACUUCAAAAAUUGCACCUGGAAAUCUAAUAAAAAUCUUGUGGAUUUUUUUUUAAAUUAAAAAUUCUAGCAUGUAAACUUUAUGCUGUUUUGUCUCAAAGAUGAGGAGGGUCCUUGGCUGAAAUCUUGUGCUGCGAUGAUAAUUCUGCAAAUCAUUAAACUGCCACAAUUCAAACAAAAUUCUUUUGCUUUUUUGUUUCAACAAGUUAGCACAGUUAUCCUCCAGAAUUUUGAAUCUGCAAAGGGGCCUCCCUAUUAGUCUGUUGCAGCAAAAGAAAACAAAAGUCAAGUCUCACUUUCAGAACUAUUAGCAGCAUCUGGAAAUCUGACAUUUUGAAUUUAACGUGUCUAAUUUUGUUUUGGAAUAGGACAAUUCAAUUGAAUUUCAGCUCUAUAAUUUCAUUCUUCAAAUAUGCUUCUCUCUCUCCUGCUUCCUGUAAUUAAAGUCACCAACUUUGACACUUGAAAUCUAUGCAAUCCACUUUUAAGUUGAUAAUCACUUUACCUAAGAGGUGAUGUUCUGAGGUUUAUAUUGUUGGGUGCAAUUAGUAUUCUCAGGGCUCGCGAAUAUCUCUGGACUGUAAAUGUUAAUUUCAUUUUCUGUAUUCCACCUCCAAUUGGAAGAUAAUAAAUGUUUAAAAGCAUCAA